rnacentral:lncRNA from 1 species
UUUUUCACUCUCUUGUAAAAUUUUAAUUUUGUGACUUGUCACAAUUUUAAAAUACAGCGCUCAAAUAAGCUAUUAUGUUUUUUUUUGGUGCUACCCAUUUAUUUUUUCUGAAACUUAUGUUUUUCUAAGUGUUCAUUCUUAGUUAUCCUCAAUAAUAAGAUCCAUACUAACACGUAUAAUAAGCUUUAUACUAAUAUCCAACUUUACUAUUAUUUAAGUUAUAUAAGUUUUGUCAUUCAAAGCAUGUACAAUCUUAGCAUUUCCAUUACAGUAGAUAGUAAUUUUAAACAUUUUGUAAAAACCAUUGUUAAAAAUGGUCAGGGAAGUUCGACUUGUUUUUUUAAAAAAGUCAAUGAAUUUUACAUAAAUAGUUGGCUACGAAUCCUGUUGGAAUAACAUUUUUUUACUAUGAAUUUUUUUGUUUUACAGUGCAAUCUCAAAUAUUAACGAGAAUUGUUCUGUGUCAGUGCAAGAAAAUGAAUGUCCACCUGCAAAUUUUAUUAUUUAUAAAAAUAUUAUGAAUCCAUUAGCAAGUAUAAAUUUUUAUCAUUAAAAAUUUGCCUCUUUGUCUUUAAUUUUAUCUGCUUUAUUAGUGGUUGUUGUAUUUACUUUCAUAAAUUCCAAAUAUAAUAUGUAAUUAGUUGUAUAGUUUCACAAUAAUAUAAUUAACUUCAUUGUUUCAAGAUAAAGUUGUAUCCUUGAAAGAUAUGCUGGUAUUAUUAGCACAUUGGGCAAGUAUUGAAGUGCAACUUGGUGAACUACAAAAUAAAUCAAAUUCAGUUAUAAAAAUUUAAGUAAAAAAGGUAUGCUAAUUAUUGUAUUGCGUGAAAGAGUGUCAUUGCCAUUAAAAGAAGUGAAGAAUUCAAGUACUUCGGAAAAAAAAGACAAGAAAACACUUAAGUCAUUUAUUUGGCACAAAUUGGAGUUAAAGACGAAGGAGAUUGUAUAUGUUUAUCACUAAGAAUAGUUUUUUAAAAUGGCCUAACUGUUAAAAUAAACUAAGUAGGGAGAGGAUAAAAAUUGGAAUAAGAAAAAUGUUAAUUGCAUGUAUUGCUAUCGUUUGUUAUGUUUCUUCUUUGGUGCAUAAUUAAACAAACAGCUGUUUUUGCAGAAACUGUGAAGUUAAACAAGCAUGGCCUAUGCAGACAUGUGAUAGAGAUAGUGGAAGAAAAACAAUAAUCGUGGGCACCAAAUAUCAUAAGCUAAGCACGAUUUAAUUACAAGUAGCUCAGCCAAUAUUAAAACUACUCUAUAAAUUUUAUAGAGGAUUUUAUUAUUUAAAACUCAAUGUGUCAGUUUUUAGUUUAAGUUUAGUGUUUGCAAUAUGUAUACCGAGAAAUUAUGUUAAAUAAAUAAAUUUUUAU